GACGAACGCUGGCGGCGUGCUUAACACAUGCAAGUCGAACGGAAAGGCCCUGCUUUUGUGGGGUGCUCGAGUGGCGAACGGGUGAGUAACACGUGAGUAACCUGCCCUUUACUUUGGGAUAACUUCAGGAAACUGGGGCUAAUACCGGAUAGGAGCUCCUGCUGCAUGGUGGGGGUUGGAAAGUUUCGGCGGUUGGGGAUGGACUCGCGGCUUAUCAGCUUGUUGGUGGGGUAGUGGCUUACCAAGGCUUUGACGGGUAGCCGGCCUGAGAGGGUGACCGGCCACAUUGGGACUGAGAUACGGCCCAGACUCCUACGGGAGGUAGCAGUGGGGAAUAUUGCACAAUGGGCGGAAGCCUGAUGCAGCAACGCCGCGUGCGGAAUGACGGCCUUCGGGUUGUAAACCGCUUUCGCCUGUGACGAAGCGUGAGUGACGGUAAUGGGUAAAGAAGCACCGGCUAACUACGUG
rnacentral:rRNA from 1 species